CUGUGUGGCGACUCAAGCAGUAAACAGUUUUGUUAGUAUUUUUAUUGUCAAAAUGUGUCACAAUCCAAUGCAUUGGACUUAUUAUAAGAGUUAAA
rnacentral:sRNA from 1 species